GGGCCCAUAGCUCAGCGGUAGAGCAGCGGACUCAUAAUCCGUAGGUCCUUGGUUCGAAUCCGAGUGGGCCCACCA
rnacentral:tRNA from 1 species